rnacentral:rRNA from 1 species
CCUACGGGUGGCAGCAGUGGGGUAUAUUGGGCAAUGGGCGCAAGCCUGACCCAGCAACGCCGCGUGAAGGAAGAAGGCUUUCGGGUUGUAAACUUCUUUUCUGAGGGACGAAGAAAGUGACGGUACCUCAGGACUAAGCCACGGCUAACUACGUGCCAGCAGCCGCGGUAAUCCGUCGGUGGCAAGCGUUAUCCGGAUUUAUUGGGUGUCAAGGGCGUGUAGGCGGGAAAGCAAGUCAGAUGGGAAAACUCAGGGCUCAACCCUGAGCCUGCAUUUGAAACUGUUUUUCUUGAGUGCUGGAGAGGCAAGCGGAAUGCGGGGUGUAGCGGUGAAAUGCGUAGAUAUACGGAGGAACACCAGUGGCGAAGGCGGAUUGCUGGACAGUAACUGACGCUGAGGCGCGAAAGCGUGGGGAGCAAACAGGAUUAGAUACCCGAGUAGUC